GACGAACCGUGCGAACGUUGUUCGGAAUCACUGGGCUUAAAGGGCGCGUAGGCGGGUUGUCAAGUCCGGGGUGAAAGCCCCCAGCUCAACUGGGGAAGUGCCUUGGAUACUGGGAACCUCGAGGGAGGUAGGGGCGUGCGGAACUUCCGGUGGAGCGGUGAAAUGCGCAGAUAUCGGGAGGAACACCAAUGGCGAAGGCAGCUCGCUGGGACGGUACUGACGCUGAGGCGCGAAAGCG
rnacentral:rRNA from 1 species